GAUGGUACACAGGUGUCGGUAAAUUGUUGCCGGUGAAAAGGGAAGCAGGUGUGAAUCCUGCACAAUGCCGUUGCUGUGUUGGCUUAGCUUUUUCUCUUAUGCCAUUGGGGAAACCUGAGAAGGUGAGGAAGAGCGAUGAGGCCGCAGUCAGAAGACCUGCCCGUGUAU
rnacentral:ncRNA from 1 species